CCUACGGGUGGCAGCAGUGGGGGAUAUUGGGCAAUGGAGGCAACUCUGACCCAGCAACGCCGCGUGAAUGAUGAAGUUUUUCGGAUUGUAAAGUUCUUUUCUCAGGGAAGAAGAAAUUGACGUUCCUUUAUGAAUAACCCUCGGCUAAUUACGUGCCGGCAGCCGCGGUAAUACGUAGGAGGAAAGCGUUAUCCGGAUUGACUGGGGGUAAAGGGGGCGUAGGUGGCUUGCCAAGUCGGUAGCGAAACCCCGGGGCUCAACGUCGGAACUACUACCAAAACUGUUGGACUCGAGUGCAGGAGAGGCAACUGGAAUUUCUAGUGUAGCGGUGGAAUGCGUAGAUAUUAGGAAGAACACCGGUGGCGAAGGCGAGUUGCUGGACUGUAACUGACACUGAGGCACGAAAGCGUGGGGAGCAAACAGGAUUAGAUACCCCAGUAGUC
rnacentral:rRNA from 1 species